GACGAACGCUGGCGGCGUGCUUAACACAUGCAAGUCGAGCGGAAAGGCCCUUCGUGGUACUCGAGCGGCGAACGGGUGAGUAACACGUGCGUAACCUGCCCCAGACUUUGGGAUAACCCUCGGAAACGGGGGCUAAUACCGGAUACGACACAGCUUCGCAUGGGGUCUGUGUGGAAAGUUUGUCGGUUUGGGAUGGGCUCGCGGCCUAUCAGCUUGUUGGUGGGGUGAUGGCCUACCAAGGCGACGACGGGUAGCCGGCCUGAGAGGGCGACCGGCCACACUGGGACUGAGACACGGCCCAGACUCCUACGGGAGGCAGCAGUGGGGAAUAUUGCACAAUGGGCGGAAGCCUGAUGCAGCGACGCCGCGUGAGGGAUGACGGCCUUCGGGUUGUAAACCGCUUUCAGCAGGGACGAAGCGUAAGUGACGGUACCGGCAGAAGAAGCGCCGGCCAACUACGUG
rnacentral:rRNA from 1 species